AUGGCUGUAUUCAGUCAGCAUCAUGUUGAUGGACUUGAUUUGACGGUGAACCCCCUUUUGUACAUGAUGAGAUGCUUCCCGGUAAGCCCAAGCAUCAUGAUAUUUUGCAGGGAUGAAAUGCUAGAUUUAGUAGAGCAUGUUGUUCACUUGGUGGGUUAGCGGGUAGUAUGCUCUAUUUGGUACUACCUCCGUCCCAAAAUUCUUGUCUAAGAUUGAUAUGGAUGUAUCUAACACUAAAACGGGACUAGAUACAUCCAUAUUUAGACAAACCUAAGACAAGGAUUUUGGGACGGAGGGAGUAUUUAACUUGAAUAUACAUUUCAGCUCUGAUAUGAAGAAAGCGUAUUAUGGUCUGUCUGGUAUUUUUUUAAUUGCAUAUUUCAGCUGUAAUAUAGAAAAAGAAACAUUACCAUCCUUUUGGUAUUUGACUUAACACAAAUCUCAGCUCUAAUGUAGAAAAAAAAAUGUCUCUGCAGGGUGUACCUGAACAGAAACUGAGGUCACAUUUGGGUUCCUUUGGUGUUACAGGAAAUCUUGCCCUCCAAUCUAUGUACACUUUAUCAGGUAUGUAAUAACACAACAGUCUCCUGGAUGGAUUUAGCUGAUAGCUCAUUGGCAGCUGCGACGAGUUGAAGCUUUCCUCAGCUUUGAGAGAUUAUAUUACAUUCGCUCAAUGGUUGAUCUACUUGUAUAAUUUUAGCAAUGUCCUGAUCCUAGUUAAUGCACAUUUGCAAUGGCAGGUGGUCAGAAGAGUAGGGUUGCGUUCGCGAAGAUCACCUUCAAGAAGCCGCACAUUAUCUUGCUUGACGAGCCUUCUAACCAUCUUGUAAGCGAACCACCUCAUCUUCCCUCCUUGCCCCAUACCUCCUUGUAUAAGCAGAGAUGAGAAACCACGGUAACAAGCAGUUCCUGACAUCGUGAAAUUUUGUGUGUUGCAGGAUCUCGACGCAGUGGAGGCGCUCAUCCAGGGUCUGCUCAUAUUCCAGGGAGGAGUGCUGAUGGUAAGGACACAUUGCCACCACGUUGCAUGUUGUUCCUUUUCGUGUGGUACAGCAUCACCCUAACCAAAUGGUACUCUUUUGCAGGUGAGUCACGACGAGCAUCUGAUCACGGGGAGUGUGGACGAGCUCUGGGCGGUGACGGACGGCAAGGUUGCCCCGUUCCCGGGCACGUUCAAGGAGUACAAGAAGAUGCUCACGACAUAAACCUGGAAAAAGGACAGGACAUAAGGGAAGAUGCCCACACAGACAUACAGAGAGUAUAUGUAUGAUAUGUACGCCCUGGCAUGGGAAAC
rnacentral:lncRNA from 1 species